rnacentral:rRNA from 1 species
UACGUAGGGUGCAAGCGUUGUCCGGAAUUAUUGGGCGUAAAGAGCUUGUAGGCGGUUUGUCGCGUCUGCUGUGAAAUUUCGGGGCUCAACCCCGAACUUGCAGUGGGUACGGGCAGACUAGAGUGUGGUAGGGGAGACUGGAAUUCCUGGUGUAGCGGUGAAAUGCGCAGAUAUCAGGAGGAAUACCGGUGGCGAAGGCGGGUCUCUGGGCCGUAACUGACGCUGAGGAGCGAAAGCGUGGGGAGCGAACAGG